GCUGGAGUAGCUCAGUUGGCUAGUGUGUGUGGCUCUUAACUACAAGUUGAAGGUUUAAGCCCUUCAUCUAGUG
rnacentral:tRNA from 1 species